AGUGAACGCUGGCGGCGUGCUUAACACAUGCAAGUCGAACGAGAACGGAUUAUAGCUUGCUAUAAUUGUCAGCUAAGUGGCGCACGGGUGAGUAAUGUAUAGGUAAUAUGCCUCUUACUAAGGGAUAACAAAUGGAAACGUUUGCUAAUACCUUAUACUCCUUAUUAACAGAAGUUAAUAAGGGAAAGAUUUAUUGGUAAGAGAUUAGCCUGUAUUGUAUCAGUUAGUUGGUGGGGUAAUGGCUUACCAAGACUAUGACGCAUAACUGGUUUGAGAGGAUGAUCAGUCACACUGGAACUGAGACACGGUCCAGACUCCUACGGGAGGCAGCAGUGGGGAAUAUUGCACAAUGGACGAAAGUCCGAUGCAGCAACGCCGCGUGGAGGAUGACACAUUUCGGUGCGUAAACUCCUUUUAUAUGAGAAGAUAAUGACGGUAUUAUAUGAAUAAGCACCGGCUAACUCCGUGCCAGCCGCCGCAGUAA
rnacentral:rRNA from 1 species